GUUUCAGGUUAGGACUCCUCAGGACUGAUGCUACUCUCUAAACUUUCCACUUUGUAUGAAAUAAUAUCCUAAACAACCUCCAUGGAGAGUUCUUGGUUUCCCUGACAGACUUCCAAAUGGGUUGCCUGAACUAGCACCUUCCACAAGCCAAUCAAUAAUGUGAAGCCCAGCCCAGGACUGAUGAAAGGUCCUGACCUAAAACAUCGACUUCUUUAGUCCUCUGAUGCUGCCUGACUUGCUGUGUUCCUCCAGCUCCACACUGUAUUGAUCUGAAUCCAGUAUCUGCAGUUCUUGCUAUCUCCAAAUGCUAAAUGUAAUAAGGAAGCCACUUCUGAGAAGAAGGCAGGCUGCAGACUUGAUUGUUCCAGAGGAGUAGUCAACAUUUUGGAUGAAAGAAUCUAAAGAUUAUUGAUACUGUCACACCACAAACUUGAAGGACAGAAAAUGGUAUAAAAAUUCAACUCCAGAACUUACAAAAGCAGAACUUCAAACAACACUGCACAAGGAUUGAACCCAAGUCAUCCAGAGACAGACACUGUUGGUUGGAAUCGUAGCUAAAGUCCACCUUAAUCAGGUGGACCCCUUGAAUAUUUGGAAUAUUUGACCAACCAGCACACACAUGGUCCCAUAGCUGAAGAUUAAUAAAAGGUCUACUGUACCUCCAACAGUGCAGCACUUCCUUGUGGCUCAGAAAUGCAGAAGCUUUUCACUGCACAUGUGACAGCAGCAGUAAAUCAAAUCAAAUCAAAACUCCAAUAAUGGCCUUGAUUUUUGUGUGCAAGCCCUGAGAUGGCUCUUGAAUAGUCUGCUGUGCAGCAGGUGGUGUUGUAGAACAAUUCUGCUGUUACUGGGAUUCUUUGUUCCUUUGGACUUUCAACUUUGUGAAAACAACUGGGAUUUGCUGGAGAGGCCAAUAAAACUAUUGUGGGCUGCUGAGCAGAGGAGAUGUCAUUGUUCAAUGGGAAACAUGCCAGCUGCUUAGUCACAGAUUGAAUUCAAUUCAACAAACAUAAUGUACCCUCUCAGUUUUCAGAGUAAUAUGUUGUCUGUUGAGAGAAAAUAAAUCAGACAAAAAUCCUCUUGUAGACUUUCCUCUGAUAAGAAAGAAAUUAUAUCUUCCUUUUUAUUGUGUAAAUUUUGAGAAUAUUAUCCCAUCCAAUUAAAUGGUUGUUGCAGAGAAAUUAAAAGAUUGAAUUAAUGUACUCCAACAAGCUUUCUAUAUUUGUUAGCUAAUGUAGACAAAAUACUUGAGCAUAUAAUAAAGAAGUUAUAAUAAUGCAAAAAUUACAGCAUAAGAAAAGGACAUUUGGCUUAUUGAACCAAUUGCUUCUAUAAUGUGCAUUUUGUUCCAUUGCUGAGACAAUCCACUCCAAAGGAAAAUUUCUCCAAGUUUCUUCAAUGAUAAUGAUACUUAAUAUUGGUGGGCAGGGAGGUAAGGAAUAAAUAAAACAAACUACAAGAAGAAGU